UACGGAGGGUGCAAACGUUGUCCGGAAUCACUGGGCGUAAAGAGCACGUAGGUGGCUUUGUAAGUGGACGAUUAAAGACCGACGCUUAACGUCGGGACUGUUGUCCAUACUGCAUGGCUUGAGGAUAGCAGGGGUAAGCGGAACUUUGAGGUGUAGGGGUGGAAUCCGUAGAUAUCUAAAGGAACACCAAUGGCGAAGGCAGCUUACUGGGCUAUAUCUGACACUGAGGUGCGAAAGCGUGGGGAGCGAUCGGGG
rnacentral:rRNA from 1 species